rnacentral:misc_RNA from 1 species
AAAUGUGAUAAUAAGUUAACCUUUUUUGAAAUGUUCAAGUAUUUAUUGUUUAGAUAAUCUGAAAAUGGGGGCCAGGGAUGAUGAAUACGAUUAUUUAUUCAAAGUUGUGUUGAUUGGAGACUCCGGAGUGGGUAAAUCCAACCUGCUCUCCAGGUUUACAAGGAACGAGUUCAAUCUGGAAUCAAAAUCUACCAUCGGAGUAGAGUUCGCCACAAGAUCUAUUCAGGUUGAUGGGAAAACGAUAAAAGCUCAGAUCUGGGAUACCGCUGGACAAGAGAGAUACAGAGCAAUCACUUCAGCGUAUUACCGUGGUGCAGUUGGUGCCCUGUUAGUGUAUGAUAUAGCUAAGCACCUGACCUAUGAGAAUGUUGAACGAUGGUUGAGGGAGUUGAGAGAUCAUGCAGAUGCAAACAUAGUUAUCAUGUUGGUGGGAAAUAAAUCAGAUCUACGGCAUCUACGCGCUGUUCCUACAGAUGAAGCCAAAGCUUUCGCGGAGAAGAACAACCUCAGUUUCAUCGAGACCUCCGCCUUGGAUUCAACCAACGUAGAGACAGCUUUUCAUAAUAUUCUCACAGACAUAUAUCGUAUCAAGUCCGUGAGCCAAUUACCCGAGGGGGGUUCAAUCAAUGGCGCCUUUACCCUUCCCCCCACCCAACUUGACCCUGAAAAGAAACCCUGCUGCAGUUCCCUUUAAAACGAAAAGUUCGAAAAAUCCACAUGAAUAGAAAUCUACCGUAUUGUGUCCCAGAAGCAGAUAAGUGAGGGUGGAGGAGAGAUGGAGCGCCCAGGUGGAAGCCAAACUAUCAACCUUC